AAGCUUCUCCUUUCCGAUGGUGGUGACCAGUGGGAUCUCUCAAAACUCAAAGUGCUGAGAAGACAUGACGGUGAAUGGAGAGUUCAGAUCUCAAGUAGACAUCUCUCUCACACUCUCCAAGGCUGAGGGGCCACCGCAGAAGAGGUGGCAGAAAGAACGAAAGCUCGCUCGAUCCCGUCGCGGACACAUUAGCCCACACGGAGCCACCACAGGCCUGGCUGACAUGCUGAUUUGUUCUGGACAAUCUGUGGGCACACCUGGGACCCCUGUGCACCUGUGUGCUCUGCCUCCAAUAGCCUG